AUUGAACGCUGGCGGCAGGCCUAACACAUGCAAGUCGAACGAGUGGCAGACGGGUGAGUAAUGUGUGGGAAAAUGCGUGAGGGGGGGGGAUAAAUAGUGGACAGGGUAGCUUAUAGCGCAAACUCUCAGAUGUGCACAGCUGGGAGUAGCUGGGUGGUGGGGUAACGGCUCACAAAGGCGACGGUCCCUAGCUGGUCUGAGAGGAUGAACAGCCACACUGGAACGGAGACCCGGCCCGGACUCCUACGGGAGUCAGCAGUGGGGAAUAUUGCAAAAUGGGCGCAAGCCUGAUGCAGCCAUGCCGCGUGUAUGAAGAAGGCCUUCGGGUUGUAAAGUACUUUCAGUGGGGAGGCGUUACCCGCAGAAGAAGCACCGGCUAACUCCGUGCCAGCCGCCGCGGUAAUUC
rnacentral:rRNA from 1 species